UUAAGCGACUAAGCGUACACGGUGGAUGCCCUGGCAGUCAGAGGCGAUGAAGGACGUGCUAAUCUGCGAAAAGCGUCGGUAAGGUGAUAUGAACCGUUAUAGCCGGCGAUGUCCGAAUGGGGAAACCCAGUGCAAUUCGUUGCACUAUCGUUAACUGAAUACAUAGGUUAACGAGGCGAACCGGGGGAACUGAAACAUCUAAGUACCCCGAGGAAAAGAAAUCAACCGAGAUUCCCCCAGUAGCGGCGAGCGAACGGGGAGCAGCCCAGAGUCUGAAUCAGCUUGUGUGUUAGUGGAACGGUCUGGAAAGUCCGACGGUACAGGGUGAUAGUCCCGUACACCAAAAUGCACAGGCUGUGAACUCGAAGAGUAGGGCGGGACACGUGGUAUCCUGUCUGAAUAUGGGGACCAUCCUCCAAGGCUAAAUACUCCUGACUGACCGAUAGUGAACCAGUACCGUGAGGGAAAGGCGAAAAGAACCCCGGCGAGGGAGUGAAAAGAACCUGAAACCGUGUACGUACAAGCAGUGGGAGCACCUUCGGGUGUGACUGCGUACCUUUUGUAUAAUGGGUCAGCGACUUAUAUUCUGUAGCAAGGUUAACCGUAUAGGGGAGCCGCAGGGAAACCGAGUCUUAACUGGGCGUUAAGUUGCAGGGUAUAGACCCGAAACCCGGUGAUCUAGCCAUGGGCAGGUUGAAGGUUGGGUAACACUAACUGGAGGACCGAACCGACUAAUGUUGAAAAAUUAGCGGAUGACUUGUGGCUGGGGGUGAAAGGCCAAUCAAACCGGGAGAUAGCUGGUUCUCCCGAAAGCUAUUUAGGUAGCGCCUCGUGAACUCAUCUUCGGGGUAGAGCACUGUUUCGGCUAGGGGUCAUCCCGACUUACCAACCCGAUGCAAACUACGAAUACCGAAGAAUGUUAUCACGGGAGACACACGGCGGUGCUAACGUCCGUCGUGAAGAGGAAACAACCCAGACCGCCAGCUAAGGUCCCAAAGUCAUGGUUAAGUGGGAAACGAUGUGGGAAGGCACAGACAGCCAGGAUGUUGGCUUAGAAGCAGCCAUCAUUUAAAGAAAGCGUAAUAGCUCACUGGUCGAGUCGGCCUGCGCGGAAGAUGUAACGGGGCUAAACCAUGCACCGAAGCUGCGGCAGCGACACUAUGUGUUGUUGGGUAGGGGAGCGUUCUGUAAGCCUGCGAAGGUGACCUGUGAGGGUUGCUGGAGGUAUCAGAAGUGCGAAUGCUGACAUAAGUAACGAUAAAGCGGGUGAAAAGCCCGCUCGCCGGAAGACCAAGGGUUCCUGUCCAACGUUAAUCGGGGCAGGGUGAGUCGACCCCUAAGGCGAGGCCGAAAGGCGUAGUCGAUGGGAAACAGGUUAAUAUUCCUGUACUUGGUGUUACUGCGAAGGGGGGACGGAGAAGGCUAUGUUAGCCGGGCGACGGUUGUCCCGGUUUAAGCAUGUAGGCUGAUUGUCCAGGCAAAUCCGGAUAAUCAAGGCUGAGGUGUGAUGACGAGGCACUACGGUGCUGAAGUAACAAAUGCCCUGCUUCCAGGAAAAGCCUCUAAGCAUCAGGUAACAUCAAAUCGUACCCCAAACCGACACAGGUGGUCAGGUAGAGAAUACCAAGGCGCUUGAGAGAACUCGGGUGAAGGAACUAGGCAAAAUGGUGCCGUAACUUCGGGAGAAGGCACGCUGGUGUGUAGGUGAAGUCCCUGCGGAUGGAGCUGAGACCAGUCGAAGAUACCAGCUGGCUGCAACUGUUUAUUAAAACACAGCACUGUGCAAACACGAAAGUGGACGUAUACGGUGUGACGCCUGCCCGGUGCCGGAAGGUUAAUUGAUGGGGUUAUCCGUAAGGAGAAGCUCUUGAUCGAAGCCCGGUAAACGGCGGCCGUAACUAUAACGGUCCUAAGGUAGCGAAAUUCCUUGUCGGGUAAGUUCCGACCUGCACGAAUGGCGUAAUGAUGGCCAGGCUGUCUCCACCCGAGACUCAGUGAAAUUGAACUCGCUGUGAAGAUGCAGUGUACCCGCGGCAAGACGGAAAGACCCCGUGAACCUUUACUAUAGCUUGACACUGAACAUUGAGCCUUGAUGUGUAGGAUAGGUGGGAGGCUUUGAAGCGUGGACGCCAGUCUGCGUGGAGCCAACCUUGAAAUACCACCCUUUAAUGUUUGAUGUUCUAACGUUGGCCCCUGACCGGGGUUGCGGACAGUGUCUGGUGGGUAGUUUGACUGGGGCGGUCUCCUCCCAAAGCGUAACGGAGGAGCACGAAGGUUAGCUAAUCCUUGGUCGGACAUCAGGAGGUUAGUGCAAUGGCAUAAGCUAGCUUGACUGCGAGCGUGACGGCGCGAGCAGGUGCGAAAGCAGGUCAUAGUGAUCCGGUGGUUCUGAAUGGAAGGGCCAUCGCUCAACGGAUAAAAGGUACUCCGGGGAUAACAGGCUGAUACCGCCCAAGAGUUCAUAUCGACGGCGGUGUUUGGCACCUCGAUGUCGGCUCAUCACAUCCUGGGGCUGAAGUAGGUCCCAAGGGUAUGGCUGUUCGCCAUUUAAAGUGGUACGCGAGCUGGGUUUAGAACGUCGUGAGACAGUUCGGUCCCUAUCUGCCGUGGGCGCUGGAGAAUUGAGGGGGGCUGCUCCUAGUACGAGAGGACCGGAGUGGACGCAUCACUGGUGUUCGGGUUGUCAUGCCAAUGGCACUGCCCGGUAGCUAAAUGCGGAAGAGAUAAGUGCUGAAAGCAUCUAAGCACGAAACUUGCCCCGAGAUGAGUUCUCCCUGAGACUUUAAGUCUCCUGAAGGAACGUUGAAGACGACGACGUUGAUAGGCCGGGUGUGUAAGCGCAGCGAUGCGUUGAGCUAACCGGUACUAAUGAACCGUGAGGCUUAACCU
rnacentral:rRNA from 1 species